UACAGAGGUCCCGAGCGUUGUUCGGAUUCAUUGGGCGUAAAGGGUGCGUAGGCGGCUUGCUAAGUUUGAUGUGAAAUCCCGGGGCUCAACCCUGGAAUUGCAUUGAAUACUGGCAGGCUAGAGUACCGGAGAGGAAACUGGAAUUUACGGUGUAGCAGUGAAAUGCGUAGAGAUCGUAAGGAAGACCAGUGGCGAAGGCGAGUUUCUGGACGGUAACUGACGCUGAGGCACGAAGGCCAGGGGAGCAAACGGG
rnacentral:rRNA from 1 species